CGAGAGGCCCAAACGUUAUUCGGAAUUACUGGGCUUAAAGAGUUCGUAGGCGGCGCAGAAAGUAGGGUGUGAAAGCCCUCGGCUCAACCGAGGAAUUGCGCUCUAAACUACUGUGCUUGAGGAAUCUAGAGGUGAGCGGAACUGAUGGUGGAGCGGUGAAAUGCGUUGAUAUCAUCAGGAACACCGGAGGCGAAGGCGGCUCACUGGGGAUUUUCUGACGCUGAGGAACGAAAGCCAGGGGAGCGAACGGGAUUAGAUACCCCGGUAGUCCUGGCCGUAAACGAUGAGCACUAGGCCGGAGGGCUGCACAGCCUUUCGGCCGUAGCUAAAGUGUUAAGUGUUCCGCCUGGGGAGUAUGGUCGCAAGGCUG
rnacentral:rRNA from 1 species